UACGUAGGGCGCAAGCGUUGUCCGGAAUUAUUGGGCGUAAAGAGCUCGUAGGCGGUUUGUCGCGUCUGCUGUGAAAACUCGGGGCUUAACUCCGGGCCUGCAGUGGGUACGGGCAGACUAGAGGUAGGUAGGGGAGAAUGGAAUUCCCGGUGUAGCGGUGAAAUGCGCAGAUAUCGGGAGGAACACCGGUGGCGAAGGCGGUUCUCUGGGCCUUACCUGACGCUGAGGAGCGAAAGCGUGGGGAGCGAACAGG
rnacentral:rRNA from 1 species